rnacentral:lncRNA from 1 species
CAGCGGUGACUGUGGGUGACUGUAGGUGACUGUAGGCGACUGUGGGUGACUGUGGGUGACUGUAGGUGACUGUAGGUGACUGUAGGUGACUGUGGGUGACUGUGGGUGACUGUAGGUGACUGUAGGUGACUGUAGGUGACUGUAGGUGACUGUAGGUGACUGUAGGUGACUGUAGGUGACUGUGGGUGGCUCCGCCUGUAUUCCUGCCACCCUGCUGGGUGGGUCGGUUAAGUGCCUGGCACCUUUCUGAGUCGUUAGCUACAUCAUUUCCCAUAAGAUCCCAUAUCCAAUAGGCAUUUUUUUUUCUUCACUCCAAAACGAUCCUUUGAUCCUUUCAGUGACAUCACAGGGACAAACGCAACUGCCUGCCAACAGUAACUACUUGUCAAAUAUAACCAGUUGUCAUUCCCCAUAUAAAUAACAUCUAUAAAGAACAAAAUGAA